rnacentral:tRNA from 1 species
CGGGUAUAGUUUAGUGGUAGAAUACGUCCUUGCCAAGGAUGAGACGAGGGUUCAAUUCCCUCUAUCCGC